rnacentral:lncRNA from 1 species
GUGCUUUAAAUUUGCAAAUGUUUUAUCUUUGAGAUCCUUAAACAGUAACACUAUUAAUCUUCAUCUUCAAGCUGCUAAGUUUGUUAUGAUAUGUUUAUACGUGUGUGUGUGUGUGUGUGUGUGUGUGUCUACGCAGAACUUUUUUUGGCUGGUCAUGUGACUCCUAGAACUGUAUCCUUCCAUCCACUAUGCAUUUCCCUAUGUAAAUAAUAUUAGCUUUCACUGGUGAUGGCAACAAGACAGAAGGAAUGAGGUCAAGGAGGAAAUAAAUUUGGAUAGAAAGAAGCCGUCAAAACCCUGUGAAUAAAAUUCACAAGCGAGUUUCGGUGACUCAUAAGAGCACAGAGAGGAGACACAGGGAUUAUUCAGGAGCAGGUUCCUGUAGGGUAGCAGGAGCUGCACAGCAGGAGUGUGGAGGGGCACAGGUCAGCACCAGGAUGCACCAAGGGCACCUGGGAAGUGCUGAGGGCCAGGCCACACUUAACUCGGGUCUGUGCCCUGCAGUGGGAAGAAGCCUCAGAGUAUUUUCAUCCUGCGAAUCUCCUCUGUGCAAGAAAAGACCAGUUGAUGUCCUUGAAAACUUUCCUAUUUGACCAGUUCAUUCUUAUUUCAAAAUUUUAUAUUAUUAUAUUUUUUAGAGACAGGGUCUCGCUAUGUUGCCCAGGCUGGACUCGAACUCCUGAGCUCAGUGAGACUCCCACCUCAGCCUCCUGAGUUGCUACCAUGCCCAGCUUGCCCAGUUCAUUUUUAAUGAGGCCAAACACAUUGGUCAUGCAGCUCACAAACAAAAGGGAAUGUCUGUAGUUCUGGUCAGUCACAAACUCAUUGUACUUUACAGAGAAAACUCCAUGCAGAAUGUUGAAAUAUCAUCCUCUAAAGGUUGACUCUAAGUAUACAGAAGCAGUGUAGGGGCACAGACAGCUCAGUUGAGCACUCAGCACAUCAAACAAGAAAGCAUGUGGUGGUUUCCCUCUACCCAGAGCAGGGUCUGAUACGGAGGAGCAAGCCUGGACUUUGUCCUUGGGCAAAUUGCCCCAUUAGGGGAGGAAGGAGCCCACUCUCCAGACUUUCUGGUUUGAAGCAGUACCUGGGUCUGAGCAGAGUGAGGAACACUUCCUGCUACAGCCAAACUAGACUAGCCUGGGCCCUGAGAUCCAUGACCUCACAUGUGCCUUUUUCUCCAGGCACACUGGAAAGCUUAGUCCCCCCGCCCCCGUGACUGUCUGUUCCCGAGAUAGUCCCUUUGCAUGGAGAAUCCGUGCCCAUCCCACCCACCCCCACACCAUAAAAAGUCAAUGUUAGAAGGUUUGAAUGGAUUUAGUGAUCAUGCACUCCAACCCUGCCUAUCUGUUCAUCAAAGUCCACUUCAAAUACCACUUUAUAAAGACAUUGUGGUUCUUCUGUCUCCCAAUUCAUUAUUACUUUGGUGCUCUGUUAUGGUAUACAUCACAUUCAGUCUUGUAUUAGAGUUGUUUGUGUACAUAUUUUCUGCCCUCACUCCAAGGCCAGCUUAAAACUUAUAAAUCUUAAAAUAUUUUGGCCUCCUAAAAAUUAAACAGUAUCAUUCAUAGUUUCCACUAUUAAAUAUUUUAUGCUUUUGGAAUAAAAUAUGUCAUUCUUCACCCCCUCUCCCAAAAACCCCAAAACUUUGUUCCUCUGCUUUUCUAGUUUCCCGUGUGCUGCUUAGUGGGUUUUCCAGCAGCCCUGGUCCCAAGCACAUGAGGGACUGUUAGCAUUUUCAAGACAAAAGUAUCCUUAACUCCUCUUCAUGAGCCUGCGAAGAUUAAACACGGAGCUCAGAACACAGUAUGAACACAAUAGAUGUAUGAUGAAAUGAAUAGGGCUAGCAUUAACUAAUGAGAGCUCCUCAAUGAUGAGCAAGAAGAAGGUGAAAUCAUGCCAUCCAAGGCUUCCCAGUGCCCCUGGAGACCACACAGCCCCUUUACACAGGAAAUGACGUGAUUCCUGAUAAGCAAGCAGUACACACUGCACAGCUUCCUUCCCUUCCUCCCCCUGCCACUCAGCACCUUUGGCAAAUAGCGGCCUGCCUUCAGCCUUCAUUAGGAAAGCCUUCAUUAGGCCUGCCUUCUUCUCUUCAUUCAUGAGAGAGUGGCAUUAACAGUGCACAAACUAAUGCUUCUUCAAAUUUUUCUGGGGUCUGCUGCUGCUACUGCUAAAAUCCGCUUGCCUUCGGACACAGUUUCUCAAAUGGCUUAAAAGCUUCUCUGCUUUUGAUCCCUGCAGCAUCACUUUCUACUCCCUCAAUCAGAAACCAGAAGCUACCCACCCCCAUUUCCUGUGUUCAUGAUAGUAGAAAGCAACAGAGAACAGUUGGCCCCUGAGCUGCCAGGUUGUGGGCUGGGUAGGGAGGAUCCAUUGCAGGAGCAUUGGAAAGCCUUGAGCACUCUGCCCUGCCUGUCCACACAGCAGCACCUUCACAGCCUUCUAGUAGUUCUGAUCAGAUUUCUGCCUCUUAAAGCGGCCCCACAGACUAAAAGCCAUCAUCUGGAAUUUGGAGUAAAAGGGCCCACAGGAAAUGAAGCACUCUAAGAAAAUUCAGCUGGGCAGGUAUUUUAAGGUCACUGACUGACUCCAAAGUGAAGGUAGAACCCAUAUUGACCGCAAUUCAUCACACUUCUGUAACUUCAGAACUCACUGCUGACUGGUGGAGAAGGUUGCAAUUGCAUUCAGUCCGAAUCUCUGAACAUAUUAUUUAGAAAUAUUAGCUUAUCCAGCUGCCUACGGAGCUUCCCAUCUGGGCUUUCAGUUGCUACAUUCUCUAAAGCCGUAUCUGACCCACACCUUACUAACACUAUGUGCUUCUACAGCAUUCACCCAGUGUUACAGCUCUUUUAGAAUCUGUCUAGCAGGUUUUCCAGUCUUCACUGGAAAGCCCUUGCCCCCAAAUAUAAAAAAAUAAUAAGGCAUUCACCCCUGAACUUUAGCAGGGCUUCCAAUCGCCUUUAAGCACUCAUUUAAAAGAAAAGUCUUUUAUUCCCUUAUAAUAGUAUUAAAUCAUUAGCAAAUGAUUCUCAAAACUAUUUUUUGAGUGCUCUCUUCUGUGUGAGAAUGUAGGAAAUGAUGACCAAGUAUACGAAGUUGGACAUGCCUAGUCCCAGGUGGCCUUUUCCUAUUGGCACAGCUGCUGGCAUUCACCCGUGCAAGCUUCUAGCUUGCUUGUCUAUGUCUGCAGCUUGAUUUUACAGGCUGCUCAUUGUAAGAAAAGAAAACGAUUUGAGGGCUGCUUUUCAUUAAAAGGAAAACCUUACUGAGGACUUCCUUACCCUCACUAUCUGCCUAAAUAAUUUCUUCUUAACUCCUAUAUCACUUAUAAGAGGAGAAAGCAGACACACAGGGGGAACUCAGUGUGACAGCACAGGCGGAGCCUGGAGGGAUGCCCAGGAAUGCCAAAGAGACGCACAGACUGGUUUCUCUCUCACAGCCCCCAGAAAAACCUAACCCUGCCAGUGAGAGGUGACAGCGUGCUGGCAGUCCUCACAGCCCUGCUCGCUCU